UACGGAGGGUGCGAGCGUUAUUCGGAAUUACUGGGCGUAAAGCGCGCGUAGGUGGUUCAGUCAGUCAGAUGUGAAAGCCCCGGGCUCAACCUGGGAAUUGCACCUGAUACUGCUGAGCUAGAGUACGGUAGAGGGUAGUGGAAUUUCCGGUGUAGCGGUGAAAUGCGUAGAGAUCGGAAGGAACACCAGUGGCGAAGGCGACUACCUGGACCGAUACUGACACUGAGGUGCGAAAGCGUGGGUAGCAAACAGG
rnacentral:rRNA from 1 species